rnacentral:rRNA from 1 species
UACGUAGGGUGCAAGCGUUAAUCGGAAUUACUGGGCGUAAAGCGUGCGCAGGCGGUUUUGUAAGUCUGUCGUGAAAUCCCCGGGCUCAACCUGGGAAUGGCGAUGGAGACUGCAAGGCUAGAAUCUGGCAGAGGGGGGUAGAAUUCCACGUGUAGCAGUGAAAUGCGUAGAGAUGUGGAGGAACACCGAUGGCGAAGGCAGCCCCCUGGGUCGACACUGACGCUCAGGCACGAAAGCGUGGGGAGCAAACAGG